rnacentral:rRNA from 1 species
UACGUAGGGGGCUAGCGUUGUCCGGAAUCAUUGGGCGUAAAGCGCGCGUAGGCGGCCCGGUAAGUCCGCUGUGAAAGUCAAAGGCUCAACCUUUGAAUGUCAGCGGAUACUGCCGGGCUAGAGUCCGGAAGAGGCGAGUGGAACUCCUGGUGUAGCGGUGAAAUGCGCAGAUAUCAGGAGGAACACCGGUGGCGAAGGCGGGUCUCUGGGCCGAUACUGACGCUGAGGAGCGAAAGCGUGGGGAGCGAACAGG